AAGGUAGCCCAAAUUUACCAGACUUUAUCAGAGCCUUGUGUUGCGAAAAACUGCUUUAUUGCUGAGAAAGGCUGAGCUGGGCUUGGGUGCUUUACCAGAUCUGUGAUUUUAAGCAAGUCCCUUUAAUAUUUCUCCAGUAUGUUUGUGUAUGUGGGCCCCACUACUCAUGCUGAGCCUGUGUGAAUGGCAGCAUCAAGAGCCACUAAAUCUUUGUUGAUGUUCUUUUAAAGGGAAAAUAAAAACCCCUUGACUCUGACAUUUACAAUAGGUAUUAUCUGCUCUCUGACAUUUGAGCUCAUAAACUGAGGUCAACCGAAUUUCUGUUCUUAACUUACCCCACUGUAUCAGACCAGAUAUGAAGUGACUGGCUGUCCCUUCCUCUAAAUAGCAGCCACCUGCCCCUGGCUCCCAGCACGUGAGUCAGGAAGCCUGGGAGUCAUUUCAGUGAUGAUGGACUGAGCCUCAAGAAAAUAAAUGAGUGUCCUCGGGAGUGUAUGGCAGAGCAGGGAACCAGCUGAAGGUCUUCUGCAGCCCACUCUUGUACCUUUAUAAGUAAUUUCUUUGAGCCCACAGGCAUUUGGGAGGUCUGUGUGCACUGCAGCAGCUGUGCCUGGUGUCAAUGGCUGCUAUGGCAGCGCAGCCGCGCCCUCAGCGAGGACUUUGGGGAGGUGGCCGUGCCCCUGCUGUGGGUGCAGGCAGGGCAUGCUGUGGUCAGGAGCUGCUGGUUCUGCCAGCAAGGCUGGCCCCAGAGGGAGGGGGAUGCUCUGGGCUGCUUUCCUGAGGCUGUGUGAUGGCGGUGAUAUCACACUGCUGUCUCUGACAUGCAGGCUUGGUUUUAAAGGGCUGAGAAUCAGGACGAGGUUUUCAUGACUCCUUGGAAGACAGGAACCAAACUCACUGUAACCCAGAGCUCGGUCCACCAUUCCUUUCUCCUGGCAGCAUUCUGGCACUCACGUGCAGCACAGAGACCAGCAGCAGCUGUAAAACUUGCACAGCAGUGUUAACCCUGCUGAGUGAAAGGCAGGGCAAUGAAGUUGGUGAAGAGUCUGGAGCACAAGUUCUAGUUCUUGUGUUCUAGUUUUAGCACAAGGAGCAGCUGAGGGAGCUGGAGUGUUUAGCCUGGAGAAAAGGAUGCUCAGGGGAGAACUUUUCCCUGUCUACAACUGCCUGAAAAGAGGCUGUAGCCAGGUGGGGAUCAGCCUCUUCUCCCAGUCAGUGACAACAGGACGUGGCCCCAAACUGUGCCAGGGGAGGUUUCUGUUUGGACAUAGAAUUUCUUCACAGAAAGGAUAAUUAGACAUUGGAAUGUACUGCCCAGGGAGGGGGUGGAGUCGCAGUCCCUGAAGGUGUUGAAGGAAAGGCUGGACACAGCACUCGUCUGGUUCAAUUUGAUGAUUUCAGAGGUCUUUUCCAACCAUGUGAUUAUCUGCUUAUGCUGCUAAUGACAGAAGCUCAGCUUACAAUAGAAGUAUAUUCUUUUGUUCAGUCUGAUGAAAAAUCCAGUAUACUUUUGUCCUCUUGAGAGUGCCACACUGCACAGAAAUCUCAGGCAUUCCAGUUUUGAAAUCUAGUAUUUUUUUAAAUUCAGUUUGUAACAGGUGGAUGAUGCACCAAGUUAAAAAAAUUACUUUGCUGGUAAAAAGUAAUUUUUGCUACUUAUUCCUUUAAAUCCUUUAAUUAAAUGGUGAAGAGCUACAAAUCAGCUAAAUCACUACAGUUGCAUUUUGUGUCCAUCUAAGUGCUUAAUGUGGUCCCAACAGAAUUUAUCAUUUAGUGCAAAGAGGACAGUGACACACAGGACAACUCUGUGGGGUAUCACAGCUGAAAAGAGUUGUAAAAAAAUCUUGUGGAGAGUGAGUCAGGUGGAGUUUGCUCCUUUAACUCUUAGAGCCAGAAGCAUCUUCUUUACUGGCAGUUGUGUGUAAAGCACGAGUGCUCCCGAGAGCAGCUGAAUGCCAGCCUCACCUUCCUGCAGCGAGUACAGACAGGCUGCCUGCAGGUGUCACACUUGGGCUGCACAGUGGCAUAAAUGCCAGGCAGGAGCAGCUGCGCCUUCUGGUUUGUUUCUUAAACCAAAGCAACCUCACGUUUAGUUUUUUAGUUAAAAAAUAAACAUUAAAUCUCAAGUUUGUUCUGUUCCAAUCAAAACAGGGAGAACUGCAGACAACACUAACAUGGUCACUUCCCAUACUUGUUUUAAUGCAAAUACUUCUGAGAAAUAAAAAAGGUAUGUUUGAAACUGCUGCGCACUCUGCAGCCAUCUCAAGACCAGCAGCAUAAGCUUUCUCAGCCUUCUGCCUCCUUAUAUGUUCAUAACUUUUUUUUUCAUUCACCACUGCCACCAGGCUUCCAGAGGGGGACACACAUGAAAUGUAAGAGGACCCAAAGGAGCUGUCACACCUUCCCUCAGAAUGAGAACUGAGAAAAAUACUGUUUCUAAUCCUCUGUCUUGCAAUAUGGUGAUGAUACUAAUUAUAAACAACAGUUUCAUGUAGAAGAGUUUGUUACAGAAAUCUACUAAAAGAGAAGAGCAAAAGACUUAAUUACCAGAUUUGGACACUGCUUUACUUUCCUGAAGGAACAGGGCAAGUGGUACUUGACUGCAGACUAAAAAGUGACAAUACCUUUUAGAAGCAGCAGGUCUGAAGCCAGUUCUCCAUAACUACAGCAGUUAACUAGGGGAAAACAUUUUAACCUACUGGCUUAAUUACAAACUGGGGGACUAUGCUGGGAUAAAUGAUUAAUUAGAAAUUUUACAGCUCAAAUUUUGUUAAAUUUAAUAUUAAGUGGCUAUCAAAUAGAAUUAAACCUGCCCUUAUUAAUACCAAGAUAAGACAAAGAUGCCAUUCACAUUACUAUUGAAUCCAUUGCUUAUAGCAAAAUGCAGAUUACAGAAAAAUACCAAGUUCAAAACUAACUUCUUGCUUGUACAUGAGCUAAAGAUGCAGGCAUUCAUGUAGAAGGUAGAUAAAACAAAAUUAAAAUUUUGUACUUCUCCAUUCCAAGAGGGCUUAGUAGGUACACUUUUACAUGGCUAUUUUCUGCAUAAAUUCCAGAAUUUUUAAAAUUAAAAUUUUGUUUCAUGUGGUGGUCUGAAGUGAGUAUAAAUCCUGAAAAAUGAAAGGUAGGCUUGUGUACUUCAGGCUGCCCAUACAAAUCACUCUGGAUGAAAAUUUAGAGUUUUUCAUGUAAGUCUGAACUCUGCAGGGUCCUUCUGGAACAAAGACACAAGUCUACUUCUGUCAAUGAAAUCACAGACUUAACCCACAUACAGUGUUGUACUCAGCUCAUGAAUUACAGUGGGCAUAAACCAAUACUGGUAACUUCUAGAAAAGUGAAUACAGCUCCUGAAAAAACAACCCAAACAACCAGAAAAAAUACCCCAUAAAAUAAUAUCCUCUAAAUUUCUAAAACACUUUUUCAAAAACACUUGUUGUAAAAACAAUGAUCUAGGAAGUAUUUUGUGGUAAGAAUAUUUUAUAUAUAUUUUUACACUUUUAACACUUACAAAAACAUUCAAACACAAAAAAAAAUUAAAUAACUUUGGGAGCAGAAUAAAUCCUUCUGCCUACACACAUACAUCAAUUCCAAGCUGUUGGCACAAAAAGUAAUCCACAUUCAUAAAACCCUUACUACUAUAUCAAACAUAAGUUAAGUAAAUCAUAGGCACUAUUUUAUCAAAUCCAUAUUUCCACAAUGCUGCAGUAAAUCUCUAAACACAGAGCCCCACGAUUUCCUGAUGUCAAUGAACUGGUAAUGCACAAAGGCUUUUUAGCAAACAGUCUGUCUUCUCAGGAAGUCAUUUGCUGUAUUUUGGGGAGAACAGCAGAGAAAAAAAAUCCCUAUAAAACUCAAGCUGAAUUUACCCAAGCGAUGAAUUACUUAACUUAAGGAAACGUACACAAGUUUGAUGCAGCCAUGGUAAAACCCCCAAUACUGUCACCUAAACUGACUUUCAAAAUUUGUACGUCAAGUGAAGUUUGAUAAAAUCCAUCAAUUUAAAUUCCCCUUUCUUCAGUGAAGACUGCAGCAUUGAUUUGUACAAUGCUGAAAAAUUAAAAUUCAGGCUUUGCUGAGAAUAUGCACAUUUAAUCUAGUCCUGUUUUCUGCUGAAUAGUGCUGUGAGAUACAUCCAUUCCCUGUACCUGCAGGUGACUCAAGGCUACAUUAGUGGUAUGUACUGCUCUGUACUGGUGAAAGGUGGUUUCUGUUGAAAUCUGACAAUUACAGCAUAUUUGACAAAACAACUCUGAAGUCUUAAGCCCAGAUCCUGAUCUGGUGUGUGAAGUCACCCAUCAACCCAGAGCUUGCUUGAGUAGUUUAAGUUGCAAGUUAGUCUCCACUCCUUCCUAUUUGGUUUCUUCCAAGUCAAGUAGUAUUGAAUGGCUUUUCAUCCAGGAAUAUGUUAAUGUUGGCCUAAAAUUCAAGUGCUAGAAUUUCAGGAUUAAUUAUCCUCUUUGUGGUGGGAGCAAAAUACA